UACGAAGGGGGCUAGCGUUGUUCGGAAUUACUGGGCGUAAAGCGCGCGCAGGCGGUCCUUUAAGUCGGGGGUGAAAGCCCAGAGCUCAACUCUGGAACUGCCUUCGAAACUAGAGGACUUGGGUACGGGAGAGGUGAGUGGAAUUCCGAGUGUAGAGGUGAAAUUCGUAGAUAUUCGGAAGAACACCAGUGGCGAAGGCGGCUCACUGGUCCGGUACUGACGCUGAGGUGCGAAAGCGUGGGGAGCAAACAGG
rnacentral:rRNA from 1 species